UGGGGAAUCUUGUGCAAUGGGCGAAAGCCUGACGCAGCCAUGCCGCGUGAAUGAUGAAGGUCUUAGGAUUGUAAAAUUCUUUCACCGGGGACGAUAAUGACGGUACCCGGAGAAGAAGCCCCGGCUAACUUCGUGCCAGCAGCCGCGGUAAUACGAAGGGGGCUAGCGUUGCUCGGAAUUACUGGGCGUAAAGGGAGCGUAGGCGGACAUUUAAGUCAGGGGUGAAAUCCCGGGGCUCAACCUCGGAACUGCCUUUGAUACUGGGUGUCUUGAGUGUGAUAGAGGUAUGUGGAACUCCGAGUGUAGAGGUGAAAUUCGUAGAUAUUCGGAAGAACACCAGUGGCGAAGGCGACAUACUGGAUCAUUACUGACGCUGAGGCUCGAAAGCGUGGGGAGCAAACAGGAUUAGAUACCCAGGUAGUCCACGCCGUAAACGAUGAUUGCUAGUUGUCGGGGUGUUUACACCUCGGUGACGCAGCUAACGCAUUAAGCAAUCCGCCUGGGGGAGUACGGUCGCAAGAUUAAAACUCAAAGGAAUUGACGGGGUCAUAGCUG
rnacentral:rRNA from 1 species